AGGCUUCGCCGUCAUCGAGGCCAUUUCCAGCGACUCGUCGCACGCUUUUCUAUAUACUUCGUUCCCCGCCAACCGCAACCAUUGACGCCAUGUCGGGUUAUUCGAGUGACCGAGACCGCGGCCGGGACCGAGGGUUUGGUGCACCUCGAUUUGGAGGAAGUAGGGCAGGGCCCUUAUCUGGAAAGAAGUUUGGAAACCCUGGGGAGAAAUUAGUUAAAAAGAAGUGGAAUCUUGAUGAGCUGCCUAAAUUUGAGAAGAAUUUUUAUCAAGAGCACCCUGAUUUGGCUAGGCGCACAGCACAAGAGGUGGAAACAUAUAGAAGAAGCAAGGAAAUUACAGUUAGAGGUCACAACUGCCCGAAGCCAGUUCUUAAUUUUUAUGAAGCCAAUUUCCCUGCAAAUGUCAUGGAUGUUAUUGCAAGACAGAAUUUCACUGAACCCACUGCUAUUCAAGCUCAGGGAUGGCCAGUUGCUCUAAGUGGAUUGGAUAUGGUUGGAGUGGCACAGACUGGAUCUGGGAAAACAUUGUCUUAUUUGCUUCCUGCCAUUGUCCAUAUCAACCAUCAGCCAUUCCUAGAGAGAGGUGAUGGGCCUAUUUGUUUGGUGCUGGCACCAACUCGGGAACUGGCCCAACAGGUGCAGCAAGUAGCUGCUGAAUAUUGUAGAGCAUGUCGCUUGAAGUCUACUUGUAUCUACGGUGGUGCUCCUAAGGGACCACAAAUACGUGAUUUGGAGAGAGGUGUGGAAAUCUGUAUUGCAACACCUGGAAGACUGAUUGACUUUUUAGAGUGUGGAAAAACCAAUCUGAGAAGAACAACCUACCUUGUCCUUGAUGAAGCAGAUAGAAUGCUUGAUAUGGGCUUUGAACCCCAAAUAAGGAAGAUUGUGGAUCAAAUAAGACCUGAUAGGCAAACUCUAAUGUGGAGUGCGACUUGGCCAAAAGAAGUAAGACAGCUUGCUGAAGAUUUCCUGAAAGACUAUAUUCAUAUAAACAUUGGUGCACUUGAACUGAGUGCAAACCACAACAUUCUUCAGAUUGUGGAUGUGUGUCAUGACGUAGAAAAGGAUGAAAAACUUAUUCGUCUAAUGGAAGAGAUCAUGAGUGAGAAGGAGAAUAAAACCAUUGUUUUUGUGGAAACCAAAAGAAGAUGUGAUGAGCUUACCAGAAAAAUGAGGAGAGAUGGGUGGCCUGCCAUGGGUAUCCAUGGUGACAAGAGUCAACAAGAGCGUGACUGGGUUCUAAAUGAAUUCAAACAUGGAAAAGCUCCUAUUCUGAUUGCUACAGAUGUGGCCUCCAGAGGGCUAGCCCGUACCUUCUUGGGAAUACAAUUGUCUAACUUUUUAUUUUUGGUCUGGCUGUUGUGGUGUGCAAAACUCCGUACAUUGCUAUUUUGCCACACUGCAACACCUUACAGAUGUGGAAGAUGUGAAAUUUGUCAUCAAUUAUGACUACCCUAACUCCUCAGAGGAUUAUAUUCAUCGAAUUGGAAGAACUGCUCGCAGUACCAAAACAGGCACAGCAUACACUUUCUUUACACCUAAUAACAUAAAGCAAGUGAGCGACCUUAUCUCUGUGCUUCGUGAAGCUAAUCAAGCAAUUAAUCCCAAGUUGCUUCAGUUGGUCGAAGACAGAGGUUCAGGUCGUUCCAGGGGUAGAGGAGGCAUGAAGGAUGACCGUCGGGACAGAUACUCUGCGGGCAAAAGGGGUGGAUUUAAUACCUUUAGAGACAGGGAAAAUUAUGACAGAGGUUACUCUAGCCUGCUUAAAAGAGAUUUUGGGGCAAAAACUCAGAAUGGUGUUUACAGUGCUGCAAAUUACACCAAUGGGAGCUUUGGAAGUAAUUUUGUGUCUGCUGGUAUACAGACCAGUUUUAGGACUGGUAAUCCAACAGGGACUUACCAGAAUGGUUAUGAUAGCACUCAGCAAUACGGAAGUAAUGUUCCAAAUAUGCACAAUGGUAUGAACCAACAGGCAUAUGCAUAUCCUGCUACUGCAGCUGCACCUAUGAUUGGUUAUCCAAUGCCAACAGGAUAUUCCCAAUAAGACUUUAGAAGUAUAUGUAAAUGUCUGUUUUUCAUAAUUGCUCUUUAUAUUGUGUGUUAUCUGACAAGAUAGUUAUUUAAGAAACAUGGGAAUUGCAGAAAUGACUGCAGUGCAGCAGUAAUUAUGGUGCACUUUUUCGCUAUUUAAGUUGGAUAUUUCUCUACAUUCCUGAAACAAUUUUUAGGUUUUUUUUGUACUAGAAAAUGCAGGCAGUGUUUUCACAAAAGUAAAUGUACAGUGAUUUGAAAUACAAUAAAUGAAGGCAAUGCAUGGCCUUCCAAUAAAAAAUAUUUGAAGACUGAA